UCCAACUCCAUCCUCGCUCUACAUCACUGCGAAGCCCUUGUCCCAGUCUCCGAAGAUCUCAACUUGGUGAACCGUUUAGUCAUAGCUAUCGCCAACAACGCCUGCAAAGAACAGCUCACCUCGGGUCUGUUAAAGCUAGAUUACACGUUUUCGGGUGCCAACAUCGAGCCGGAGACUCCGUUAGACUGGUGGGGGAAGUCGCUAGCUGUUUUGAACCUUGACUUCUUCCAGAGAGUUGUCUCUGCUGUUAAGUCAAAAGGGCUUAGACAAGACGUGAUCAGCAAGAUACUGAUCAGUUACACGAACAAGUCUCUUCAAGGGCUAAUCAUCCGCGAUCCAAAGCUCGACAAAGAAAGGGUUAUCGAUUUGGAGUCGAAGAAGAAACAGAGAAUGAUUGUAGAAACAGUCGUUAGGUUACUUCCUACGCAAGGAAGAAGAAGCUCUGUUCCGAUGGCGUUCCUCUCAAGUCUUCUCAAAAUGGGCAUCGCUACAUCAUCAGGAUCAUGUAGAUCAGAGUUAGAACGAAGGAUAGGUCUUCAGCUAGACCAAGCUAUCCUCGAAGAUGUCUUGAUUCCGACAAAUCUCAACGGAAACAACAACACGAUGUACGACACUGAUUCGAUCUUGAGAAUCUUUUCUAUAUUCUUAAACCUAGACGAAGAAGACGACGAAGAAGAACAAGAUCAACAUCAUCGUAACCGUUUUGGAGACGAAACAGAGAUGAUUUACGAUUUCGACUCUCCAAAACAGAGCUCCAUCUUGAAAGUAUCGAAGCUAAUGGAUAACUACUUAGCAGAGAUAGCUUUGGACCCGAACCUAACGACUUCAAAGUUCAUUGCCUUAGCAGAGCUCUUGCCAGAUCAUGCACGUAUCAUCAGCGAUGGACUAUAUCGAGCCGUUGACAUUUAUCUCAAAGUAUAAACACUCUUUUGAACCUUUCUCUCAGUUUAUGAAAUUUUCCAAACUCAUUUAUUGUUUUUUUUUUGUUUGUGGUAGGUUCAUCCGAAUAUAAAGGAUUCAGAGCGUUAUCGUUUAUGUAAGACGAUAGAUUCGCAGAAACUAUCACAAGAAGCUUGUAGCCAUGCAGCGCAAAACGAGAGGCUGCCCGUGCAGAUGGCGGUGCAAGUGUUGUACUUUGAGCAGAUCAGACUCAGAAAUGCUAUGAGCAGUAGCAUUGGUUCUACUCAGUUUCUGUUCAGUGGUAACUGUCAUCAGUUUCCUCAACGGGCAGGAAGUGGAGCAGGUAACUUUACUUUAUAACCCCUCUUGAUGUAUAUAACUUCGGUUUAAGACAGCUCUAAGCGCCACCCUAGUCGGUAAAUUGAGUCUAAACAAAACAAUUUUUUCAGACCGAUGUUUAUAAAUAUCGGUUUAAACUUAAAAAAAAACCGGUUUAAAUGUCCACCUAAACAAUGAUCCUUUAUAAAGCGAUUGCCUAGCGAUUUCUUAAACAUUGGUAUGAUCUAAAUGUUGCAACUUACUGAAACGUUUUUAUGAUUCUUUUGUUUGGUUGGCUUGGAACACAAGGAAGUGGAGCGAUAUCUCCAAGAGAUAACUAUGCAUCAGUGAGGAGAGAAAAUAGAGAGCUAAAACUUGAAGUUGCGAGGAUGAGGAUGAGACUAACGGAUCUAGAGAAAGAUCACAUCUCGAUUAGACAAGAGCUUGUUAAGUCUAAUCCAGGGACUAAGCUUUUCAAGUCAUUUGCUAAAAAAAUAAGCAAACUCAAUUCUCUUUUCAGCUUCAGUAGUCUUAAACAUUCAUUGAGCGCAAAGGCAAGUACUGAUAGCCGUUUCUUGUUUCAGAGAAAAAGACGCCACUCGGUUUCUUGAUUAAGACAUACAAUCAUCUUCAUAUGUUUUUUUUUCCUUCGGGAGUUUGAGUUGUGAUUGCGUGUGUAUGUAUAGCUUAUAUUAUAUGCUUGUGUUUUAUGAAAUGUGAGCGAUGCUGUUAAUUUGGUCGGGUCUUUGCUAUUUGCUUGCAUAAAAUGUGAUUAGGAGAACUCGAUUUUGUUAGCUUAUGACCAGUCAUCAACCACUAUAUCACAUUUUGUUUUUAAUGAUUCUGUAUUACUUAAAUCUUGAGAUGAGUCAGUACUAUACAUAUGUAAUGUACUACAUAAUAUAUGGUACAUAACUUAUUGUUUUUUCUUUGAUAACACUAGUAGCUAGGGUAUGUAUAUUAUAUUAGAACUUUUUGACCAAAUUAGAAGUUUAUUCAACCAGAUAUCUGAAUAAGUAAUUAAUCACAUGCAUCGUACAAUAUAAAGACCUUUGCACAGCCUAGUUAUAAACGUUGCACAAAGCACAAGGCAUACUUAUCAUAAUAAAGUAAUAAAGCGAUCGAUACCAUUUAACUAUAAGUCUAUAAUGUACUCAUGUAAAUACUUAUUAUGCAAAUACAAUCUUAAUUCUUAACAACUGCGAUUGCAUUCAAAACACAAGAGAAGUUGGAUCAAAUCGCUAAUUUAUUUUAUUUUGUUUCUCUAGUAUUCAGAUUGACGCUAAAUAGUUUUCUUGUAAUUACUAUAUAUAUUAUGCUUCAAACGCUGAUCACACUCUAUACUAAAAAUAUAUAAGUAUACCCUUAGUUACGAUUAAGGCCACUUAAAUCCAUAUGGCACCAGCUCUUCUGAGCAACGCACCUAGCUGGUUCCUGACUUGAAGAGACAUAAGCUGAUUUGCACCACCUGUGAGCUGUUGCCCUAUAAAAACAGCUGGCACGGUGGGUUUGCAUCCAAGCUCGACCAGUGCUCGUUCGAUCUCUGGUCCAUUAGACAUCUCAUCUAGUUCGUAUACCGUUGGAUUCGCACCGUAGCCAGAUAUUAGCAACUUGAUAGUGUGGCUCAUACAGCAUGAAGUUUUGCUGAAUAUCACCACUGGCUUGUCUUCUAGCAAAUUUGAGAUCUUCUCCAUUGAUGCUAUAUGAAUGUUUGUGUGCGUUUAAGUGUACUAAUGUAAGCAGUUUUCUGUGUAUUGGUGUAAGUAAUGGGGAGAUAUGGUUUGAGUAUGGUAAGGAAAGUCAUUGGUAUAUAUGGAUGAUCUUUAUUUCCGGGAAGCCCUUUUAUUUUACUUAAUAUGCUCGUUGAAACCCUAUAUUGUUUUCAACUAAUGCUUUAUACUUCUGAUUUUGUUCAGAAUGAUACCUAAUCUAACCUUCAUAUUCUCCACAUCAACACAACGUAUCCAUCCAGAUGAUAUGAGAUCAAAUUCAAAUUACCAUCUAUAGUAAAAAAAAAGAAUCAGAUUGAAGCCAAAUAUGUAUAGUUCUGUGACUAUAUAUGUUAAUUCUUAAUUGUUAUAGAAGUUGGUUUCAAUCUUCUUACAAAGAUAUAUUUCUGAAAGAUUUAAAGCACAAUAUUCAUGUUUAUAUGUGAAUGACUUAGCAUUAUUCAAAAAUUUAUCUUCGGCUGAUACAGUUUGAUUUUGUUUGUCUUCACUAUCACACUAUAUGAUAAAACACAUGGCGUUGUAAAUGAAACAUUAUGGUUUAUAGGAAGCUUUCCGAUUUCUUGGACUAUAAUGCAAAAACAUAUUAUUGAAAUGACAGAACGAUGGAAAAAGUUGAAGAACAUUGGAGAGCUAUUCCGAAAAGAACCACAAUCAACAAAUAUCCUAUCUCGUUUUCGAUUUUCAAGAAAUUUUUAAUAAUUAUUAAAAGAAAGAAUCUCAAAUACAUUAUCAAUGAAAUUAUACUAGCAAGACAGGAAAGAGCCAGUGUUGUUUACGCCGUACAUGAUGGAGAAGAUCACGAGAAGAAGAUGCUGCCUCUGUACGUUCGGAUUAUUCGAUCGAACAAGAAAGGAGAACUAAUCAAUAAUAUAACAGUAUAUGAUUACUAAAUACUCAUCGACGUUUUUGCCCUAGCUCCUAAGCUUGACUACUACUACAUACAUUAAUAUUCAUACGAUAUUAUACGUAUUAGGAUUAAGUUAACGUUGAUGUCGGACAUACAUAGCAUUAAUCAAUUAUUUUUCCUUCAUUGCACGUAUUUUCAUUUAGUUUUGCGUAAUCAACUAUUUCACAGUUUCACCGUUCCACUAUAUGAAUCACAAGAUCCACAACUUAUUUUCUUUUGCGUAUUAUAAAAGGAAAAUGAUUCAUAUGCUUGCUUCAAGUUGCGUGUCACAAAUCGUCGUCCCCCUGGACAAAAUCCGAGCUAAGGACGUCACCAGAGUCUUGACAUGUGGUGAAAAAAAAAAAAGUUGAUGUAUUUUAAUAUUCUACAUUUCACAUGAUCACAUCUCCAUAUGAACUUUGCCCUAAUAAUGGUUUGGUUCAUCACUACGUAUCUGCAUUUUAAAUUAUUAGACUUUGUACGAUAAUCUAACGUACGAGGACUUCAAAUUGCCUACUUAUUAUACUUUCAGUAAUGAAAACGAUCUAAAUCGAGAUUAAUUUUUUUCCUCUUCCAAUAAUCAAAUAUAUUUUUGUUUUCAUUCAUCAACAGAAAUAUGCCGAAAGAGAAACUGAAAAUAGCUAGCCCCCACAGAUAGACUAUCAUUGGAUGAUACAAACUACAAAGAUAUAACACGUAUAUUACCAAGAACAUAUUCGAUAUGGAAGAAGAGAUUAGACAUGGACCCAACUUGCUUCUCAUGUUCUCAUAGAUUUUCUGAAAUGUAAGUCUGUUUUAAUUUAUUCCAAUACUAAAAUAUGUGUGAAAUAUUAUCCAAGGAAAUUAUGCGUAUAUGCGGAGAAAUGAAAAGCAAUGGUAUGCUGUUUAAUAUUCCACCAAGGCAAGAACAAGAUAAGCCACAUAUCUCUCACACAUUGAAAGAGAUUACACGUUUAUUCUUCUUUGAAUUUGAUGCUAUACUGUUCAUCAAAACCAAUAAUUUCUCACAUCUUACUUUUGUAUUGUGUGGAACAUAUAUGUACAUCAACACUUCAUCUGGUUCUGUCUUUAUUUGAAAAGUUUGACGUUGACACAACCUUUUACAUGUCCCCUUUGAAUCUACAAAUGUCUUAAUAACCAGGAAAAAAUAUACACUAUUUUAGAUGAUAGUUUUACUGUUUCCUUAUCCUAUAAUCUUUAUCAUUGGGAGUCAUGGAAUACAGAAGCAGUUCUUAUAUGAUCAUCAAGUUCAACUCCACACACAUCUUUUUUACUUCAUUAUUCAGAAAUCCUUUUAUUGAAAUUAAUGAGUUUCUUUAUAUGUUCUUGCAGGCCUAUCUCUGAUGUCUCUAGUGAUCUUACAGUUCAAGUUGGAUCUUCAAGUUUCUGUCUUCAUAAGGUAAAAAACAAAAACAAAAAACAUAAGAACCUUAAAACAGAGAAUCCUCUGUUCUUGAGUUGUAUUGAAGUUGCUUGUUUGUUGUUUUGAUAAUCUCCAGUUUCCUCUUGUGUCUCGGAGUGGAAAGAUCCGGAAGCUUCUUACCGAUUCAAAAACCUCUAGUAUCUGUCUCCCAAGUGUUCCUGGAGGAGCUGAGGCCUUUGAGCUCGCAGCUAAGUUCUGCUACGGAAUCAACAUUGAGAUCAACCUUCUCAACGUAGCUAAGCUUCGUUGCGCAUCUCACUACCUAGAGAUGACUGAGGAGUUCUCAGAGGAGAAUCUCGCAAUCAAAACAGAACACUUCUUCAAAGGAACGAUCCUCCCAAGCAUCUCCAACUCCAUCCUCGCUCUACAUCACUGCGAAGCCCUUGUCCCAGUCUCCGAAGAUCUCAACUUGGUGAACCGUUUAGUCAUAGCUAUCGCCAACAACGCCUGCAAAGAACAGCUCACCUCGGGUCUGUUAAAGCUAGAUUACACGUUUUCGGGUGCCAACAUCGAGCCGGAGACUCCGUUAGACUGGUGGGGGAAGUCGCUAGCUGUUUUGAACCUUGACUUCUUCCAGAGAGUUGUCUCUGCUGUUAAGUCAAAAGGGCUUAGACAAGACGUGAUCAGCAAGAUACUGAUCAGUUACACGAACAAGUCUCUUCAAGGGCUAAUCAUCCGCGAUCC
rnacentral:lncRNA from 1 species